rnacentral:rRNA from 1 species
UAGCCCUUCAGAGGGGGACAACAGUUGGAAACGACUGCUAAUACCGCAUACGAUCUGACCUCGGCAUCGAGGAUGGAUGAAAGGUGGCCUCUAUUUAUAAGCUAUCACUGAAGGAGGGGAUUGCGUCUGAUUAGCUAGUUGGAGGGGUAACGGCCCACCAAGGCGAUGAUCAGUAGCCGGUCUGAGAGGAUGAACGGCCACAUUGGGACUGAGACACGGCCCAGACUCCUACGGGAGGCAGCAUG